rnacentral:rRNA from 1 species
GAUGAACGCUGGCGGCGUGCUUAACACAUGCAAGUCGAACGGGAAUUAUUUUAUUGAACCUUCGGUCGAUUUCAUUUAAUUCUAGUGGCGGACGGGUGAGUAACGCGUGGGUAACCUGCCUUAUACAGGGGGAUAACAGUCAGAAAUGGCUGCUAAUACCGCAUAAGCGCACAGAGCUGCAUGGCUCAGUGUGAAAAACUCCGGUGGUAUAAGAUGGACCCGCGUUGGAUUAGCUGGUUGGUGGGGUAACGGCCCACCAAGGCGACGAUCCAUAGCCGGCCUGAGAGGGUGAACGGCCACAUUGGGACUGAGACACGGCCCAGACUCCUACGGGAGGCAGCAGUGGGGAAUAUUGCACAAUGGGGGAAACCCUGAUGCAGCGACGCCGCGUGAAGGAAGAAGUAUCUCGGUAUGUAAACUUCUAUCAGCAGGGAAGAUAGUGACGGUACCUGACUAAGAAGCCCCGGCUAACUACGUG